CAAUAGCGUAUAUUAAAGUUGUUGCGGUUAAAAAGCUCGUAGUUGGAUUUCUGCUUUGGGCGUCCGGUCCACCCUCUGGGUGAGUAUCUGGUUCGACCAAUGCAUCCGAUUGCGGUACGCCCUAUGCUUCACUGUGUGGGGCGGAACGUAGUCCUUUUACUUUGAGGAAAUUAGAGUGUUUCAAGCAGGCUUCCGCCUUGAAUACAUUAGCAUGGAAUAAUAAGAUAGGACCUCGGUUCUAUUUUGUUGGUUUCUAGAACUGAGGUAAUGAUUAAUAGGGAUAGUUGGGGGCAUUCGUAUUUAACUGUCAGAGGUGAAAUUCUUGGAUUUGUUAAAGACGAACUACUGCGAAAGCAUCUGCCAAGGAUGUUUNCAUUGA
rnacentral:rRNA from 1 species